GAUUGCAAGAACUUGAUCGCGCUGCCACAAGGUAUUAAAGCUUUAACCGCGUUAAAAGUUCUGGUGAUUUCGAAUUGCGAAAAGCUCCAUCGAAAUAUGAUAUUGGCAUCCAAAGCGAGAGGAAAAGAAGAUGACAGUCAAGAUCACCACAUUGGCAGUGGGUUACGCCUUCAAACAUUAAUCAUUGGAUGGUUACCAAGGCUGGAGGCACUACCCAAUUGGCUUCUUGGAGAAUCUGCCAACACUUUGCAGAUCCUGGUAAUCGAAGAAUGCAAGAAUCUCACAACAUUGGCGGAGUGGCAGAAUCUCACAUCACUUGAAAGGUUUAGUAUUGGGGAAUGCCCAAAACUGUCAUCUCUACCAGAGAGUAUGCCUUGCCUCAGAGAAUUGAGUAUUAUGCAUUGUCCCAUUUUGAACGAAAGAUGCAGACCAGAAACAGGAGAGGAUUGGGCCAAGAUUGCUCACGUCUCGAACAUACGGAUUGAUGGCUCCGCCGGAGGGUAUGCCGUGCCUCAAAGAAAUGACUAUUAUGCAUUGUCCCAAUUUAAACGAAAGAUGGAAGCCAGAAACAGAAGAGGAUUGGGCCAAGAUUGUGCAGCGUAACGACUCGCUAAGAAGGCGCAUGUAUCUCCAUUUAUUGGUACGUAAUUGGACUGGAAUUCUCAUGGUGGCUGCACCAUUCUCCACGUAACCACUAAAUAUGAUUCCAGAAGUGUUCCUGGCUUGCCUUAUGUCCUGAUUGUUGGGUUGUAUUCUAGCUAGUUGUGUUAUGGACCUAUCUGAAAUUUGAUGCUUGUUUGUGGGCUGUAAUUUCCUUGUUUCGCUCAAUGUUGGUUUGAUGUCUUGGGUUUGAAUUCAAGAUUCGGCUUCGUCUUAUAUCUUUUGGAUUCAA